AUAGGCCGAUGCCCAACCACUGGGCCAUGCCAUACUCACUUUUCCAUUAAUCUUUCCUUCCCUUGUCAUUUUCCCACUUUUGUUAUAUUAUUUUUCCACUACCAAUGUUAAAGUUUGCAUUCUAAAAUUUCUAUAUACUUUAUCUUAGGCAGGUUCUAAAGUUUAUACACUAAUAAACAGUAUUUAUGAUAUUAAGAUAAUGUACAUUUAUUUCACUAGAGAACUAAGCAUGCAUGGACUAUAAAAAAGGAUAUAUUCCAGGUCUACAGAGCAACUAAUCUAAUACACCAAAAGAGAAAAACAGGCAUCUAAUAAUCCUUACUGAGCACUUAAUACUGUACAAUUACUCUACAUACAUCACCUUAUUUAAUCCUCAAAACAACCACAAGGAAUUAUCAGCCCAAUUUUGCAAAGAGAAACUAGACUAAAGUUAUAUCAUUUGGAUGGCUAGUAUGGAGCAGAGCAGAUAUCUGAACCCAGGUUACGGCUCCAGGGCCUGAACUCUUCACCACAAUACUGCUUGCUCAUACUAACUAUUCUUUCACUUUCCUUUUCCUAGCAAUGUCUAAUUAGUGCCCUGAACAGCAAUGGGAGCGUGUUAUUUUACAAGGCAGAGUUUAAAAUCAUCCUACUAGAUAUUAUUGAUCAUAUUUCUGUCUAGAUAUUGGUCAUUAUUGAUCAAAAUAUUGAUCAUAUUUUUCAAUUGGGGAUGAGUUAAAGGGGUUACUGAAUUAGCCAAUAUGAUGUUGUUUUCUUGCUACAUUAUAUUAAGUAUGUAGCCAUAUAGCGGACUGGUCUGAUUCCAAAUUAACUUUAUUUCUAAAAUGUACAGGUGAAGAGAACCUCAUUUAUAGGCCAACUCUAUCCUUAUGCUUUCCAAACACAGGUUAUAUUACUGUCCUUGCCAAGGCACUGAGGUGCUAAACUCACUCAAAAAUAAAACCAUUCUGGGCCACGUGUAAAUCAGGAUCUCUUGAUAUUAAAUUCUCUAUGGCAAGAGAUUAAGGAUCCGAAUUAGAAUCAUACCUAAACGCUGACACCACUUAGAGCCAAUAAAAUAUACUGUAAUACUGAACAACUGAUAACGAGUAUAGUGUUUAUUCCCACUAGAGUUGUUACAAUUCCGAACCAGCUUGUAAACUACAGAGUCAAACAGAUAUGGCUUAAAAGGGGAUGUUUCACCAGCAGCUCUACAACUGACAAUCAUUCUUUCUACCUACCAGUUUUCCAAAGAUGUCCUGAACUCUGCAAAUACCAAGAUGACUUGACAUCUCGUGAAUCUUGGAAAAUCUCCUGGUGGCUUCCGUUUGGCAAGGCUCACAUUCUCCCCUGGGCGUGGAGUAAAAGCAUGUCCUUGGGUGAAGAUUAAAACAACAAACAAACGUAGGAGCAAGAGGGGAAUUCACAAAGGAGAAGUGGAAAUCAGAGAUAAAAAUCAGGAAGACAUUUUCAAACAACUUCUCCAAAGCAAUUCAACUAACAUUUACUGAGCCCCUUCUGUGGGCAAGAAGCUGAGCUGGCUACUCUGAGACACAGAUGGGGUCCCCACCAGAGCUCAGCGAGGAAGAUGAAACAUG